rnacentral:tRNA from 5 species
GGGCGUGUAGUUCAGUGGUAGAACGCUACGUUGACAUCGUAGAGGUCAUAAGUUCAAUUCUUAUCACGCCCACCA